rnacentral:rRNA from 1 species
UACGGAGGGGGCUAGCGUUGUUCGGAAUUACUGGGCGUAAAGCGCACGUAGGCGGUUUUGUAAGUUAGAGGUGAAAGCCCGGGGCUCAACUCCGGAAUUGCCUUUAAGACUGCAUCGCUAGAAUUGUGGAGAGGUGAGUGGAAUUCCGAGUGUAGAGGUGAAAUUCGUAGAUAUUUGCUAGAACACCAGUGGCGAAGGCGGCCAACUGGACCAUAACUGACGCUGAGGUGCGAAAGCGUGGGGAGCAAACAGG